rnacentral:tRNA from 1 species
GUCACCGUGGCGCAAUCGGUUAGCGCGUUCGGCUGUUAACCGAAAGGUUGGUGGUUCGAUCCCACCCGGUGACG